CCUUCCUGCCAUUCUCAUCCACAUUUCUACUGCUUUUGAUAGCCGAGUUCAUACUUGUGUAUGGUCAAGGUUAAAAAUGUUUAUGUUCUUUUAUUUUUCCCAGGGGAAGUUUUCAAUAUGUGCUUCAAUGUAUGUUAAAAAAUAAUUCUAACAUCACGUGGCAGUGUACAUGUUGGUUAUUAUUGUGCUGAAUGAAGUCCCUCAAUUCCAUUUACUUCUAGAAGACUCGGGUCCAUGGGAAUUCAAAAGAAGAUCACUCUAGAAGAAGAUUUGCUGUUCAGGCCAUCUAUACACAACCACUCUCCAUCUACUUCAGGGUCUGCCUCAGUUGAGCAGAGCAACCUGUCCACAGAGAAGAAGCUCAUGGAGCUGGUGACUAAACAGAUUCUAAUGAAGAACAACACUGAGAAAACCAAAAGACAUCAUGAUUGACAUGGACAAGACAUAGAUGGGCUAGGGAGAUGGCUCCAUGAGCAAAGUCUUCCAUACAACCAUGAGGACCUGAGUUUGGAUCCCCAGCAUCUACUUCAAACAUUUGGCACGGUAGGACACACUUGUCUGGGACGUGGAGACAGGCAGCUUCCUGGGCUUACUACAGCUCAGGUCCUAGUAAGAGACCCUGUCUCAAAAAGAAAGGUGGAGCUCGGUGGUGAUGGCGCAUACCUUUAAUCCCAGCACUCAGGAGGCAGAGGCAGGCAGAUCUCUGUGAGUUCGAGACCAGCCUGGUCUACAAGAGCUAAUUCCAGGACAGCCUCCAAAGCCACAGAGAAACCCUGUCUGGAAAAAAAAAAAAGAAAGAAAGGUGGAUUGUGGAUGGCUCUUGAGGGAUAAUGCAGAGACAGAUGAGCACACGAGUGUGUGUGUGUGUGUGUGUGUGUGUGUGUGUGUGUGUGUGUGUGUACCUGCUCACACUAUUAAGGAAGGCUCUAGACAAAACAAGGAUUGC
rnacentral:lncRNA from 1 species